GACGAACGCUGGCGGCGUGCUUAACACAUGCAAGUCGAACGAAGUGGCGAACGGGUGAGUAAUACGUGGGUAACCUGCCCUCCUCUUUGGGAUAAGCCUUGGAAACGGGGUCUAAUACCGAAUAAAGGGGUAUGGGCUCGCGGCCUAUCAGCUUGUUGGCGGGGUGAUGGCCUACCACGGGGGUGACGGGUAGCCGGACUGAGAGGGUGACCGGCCACAAUAGGACUGACAUACGGCCCAGAGUGCUAGGAGAGGCAGCAGUGGGGGAUUGGACGCAAGGCGCGAGAGGCUGAUGCAGGUGCGCCGCGUGGGGGAUGAAGGCUUUCAGGUUGUAAACCUCGGUCGCUAGCGAACGGGUAGGUGGAGAGGAAGCGCCGGCUAACUACGUGCCAGCAGCCGCGGUAAUAC
rnacentral:rRNA from 1 species